CAGCAGCCACGGGAAUACAGAGGGUGCAAGCGUUAAUCGGAACUACUGGGCGUAAAGCGCGCGUAGGUGGUUUGUUAAGUUGGAUGUGAAAUCCCCGGGCUCAACCUGGGAACUGCAUCCAAAACUGGCAAGCUAGAGUAUGGUAGAGGGUGGUGGAAUUUUCUGUGUAGCGGUGAAAUGCGUAGAUAUAGGAAGGAACACCAGUGGCGAAGGCGACCACCUGGACUGAUACUGACACUGAGGUGCGAAAGCGUGGGGAGCAAACAGGAUUAGAUACCCGGGUAGUCCCUGUCUCUUAUAC
rnacentral:rRNA from 1 species